rnacentral:rRNA from 1 species
AGAGUUUGAUCCUGGCUCAGAUUGAACGCUGGCGGAAUGCUUUACACAUGCAAGUCGAACGGCAGCACGGGGGCAACCCUGGUGGCGAGUGGCGAACGGGUGAGUAAUACAUCGGAACGUGCCCAGUCGUGGGGGAUAACGUAGCGAAAGCUACGCUAAUACCGCAUACGAUCUACGGAUGAAAGCGGGGGACCGCAAGGCCUCGCGCGAUUGGAGCGGCCGAUGGCAGAUUAGGUAGUUGGUGGGGUAAAGGCUCACCAAGCCUGCGAUCUGUAGCUGGUCUGAGAGGACGACCAGCCACACUGGGACUGAGACACGGCCCAGACUCCUACGGGAGGCAGCAGUGGGGAAUUUUGGACAAUGGGCGCAAGCCUGAUCCAGCCAUUCCGCGUGCAGGAUGAAGGCCUUCGGGUUGUAAACUGCUUUUGUACGGAACGAAACGCG